GACGAACGCUGGCGGCGUGCUUAACACAUGCAAGUCGAACGAUGAAGCUGGAGCUUGCUCCGGUGGAUUAGUGGCGAACGGGUGAGUAACACGUGAGAAAUCUGCCCUUGACUCUGGGAUAACUGCGGGAAACUGUAGCUAAUACCGGAUAUGUUCCUUGGUGGGCAUCCACUGGGGAAGAAAGAAUUUCGGUCAAGGAUGAUCUCGCGGCCUAUCAGCUCGUUGGUGAGGUAAUGGCUCACCAAGGCGAAGAAGGGUAGCCGGCCUGAGAGGGUGACCGGCCACACUGGGACUGAGACACGGCCCAGACUCCUACGGGAGGCAGCAGUGGGGAAUAUUGCACAAUGGCGCAAGCCUGAUGCAGCAACGCCGCGUGAGGGAUGAAGGCCUUCGGGUUGUAAACCUCUUUUAGCAGGGAAGAAGCGAAAGUGACGGUACCUGCAGAAAAAGCACCGGCUAACUACGUGCCAGCCGCCGCGGUAA
rnacentral:rRNA from 1 species